rnacentral:pre_miRNA from 1 species
UGUUAAAAUUUUAUCAAUUUGUACUGUUAAAAACAGACGUGGCUAACGAAAUAAUCAAAAAGUGAUAUUUGGUGUGCUACGUGUAUCUCAUGUUGAUGUACAAAGAUCAAUUAACAGUAGAAUUAGAAGUAAUUUUAACA